GCUCAGCUUGCUGGGUGGAUCAGUGGCGAACGGGUGAGUAACACGUGAGCAACCUGCCCCUCACUUCGGGAUAAGCCUUGGAAACGGGGUCUAAUACCGGAUAUGAGCACUUACCGCAUGGUGGGUGUUGGAAAGUUUUUCGGUGGGGGAUGGGCUCGCGGCCUAUCAGCUUGUUGGUGGGGUAAUGGCCUACCAAGGCGUCGACGGGUAGCCGGCCUGAGAGGGCGACCGGCCACACUGGGACUGAGACACGGCCCAGACUCCUACGGGAGGCAGCAGUGGGGAAUAUUGCACAAUGGGCGAAAGCCUGAUGCAGCGACGCCACGUGAGGGAUGACGGCCUUCGGGUUGUAAACCUCUUUCAGCAGGGAAGAAGCGCAAGUGACGGUACCUGCAGAAGAAGCGCCGGCUAACUACGUGCCAGCAGCCGCGGUAAUACGUAGGGCGCAAGCGUUGUCCGGAAUUAUUGGGCGUAAAGAGCUCGUAGGCGGUCUGUCGCGUCUGGUGUGAAAUCCCAUGGCUCAACCAUGGGCUUGCAUCGGGUACGGGCAGACUAGAGUGCUGUAGGGGAGACUGGAAUUCCUGGUGUAGCGGUGGAAUGCGCAGAUAUCAGGAGGAACACCGAUGGCGAAGGCAGGUCUCUGGGCAGUUACUGACGCUGAGGAGCGAAAGCAUGGGGAGCGAACAGGAUUAGAUACCCUGGUAGUCCAUGCCGUAAACGUUGGGCACUAGGUGU
rnacentral:rRNA from 1 species